rnacentral:rRNA from 1 species
UGGGGAAUAUUGGGCAAUGGGCGAAAGCCUUACCCAGCAAUGCCGCGUGAGUGAAGAAGGUCUUCGGAUUGUAAAGCUCUUUGAUCAGGGACGAACACAAUGACGGUACCUGAAGAACAAGCCCCGGCUGACUACGUGCCAGCAGCCGCGGUAAUACGUAGGGGGCGAAGCGUUGUCCGGAAUGACUGGGGCGUAAAGGGUGUGUAGGCGGGCUCGCAAGUUGGAUGUGUAAUACCCCAGAGCUUAACUCGGGUGCUGCAUCUGAAACUACGAGUCUUGAGUGUCGGAGAGGUAAGUGGAAUUCCUAGUGUAGCGGUGGAAUGCGUAGAUAUUAGGAGG